rnacentral:sRNA from 1 species
GCGCGCACAAAACUCAUUAUUGAGGAUCAAGGAGGAACUUCUUCAGACAUAACAUCUUUCAGCCGUGUGGAAAUAUUGUGGUUGGAAUUCCUCUUGCUUCAGUGUAUAUUCAAUAUUCCAAGGCUUCCUACACACCCACCAGGCAACUCCCAGAGCCCCAAAAAUACAGAGGAACCCCAAGAACCUUCUCGCCUCACUCUUUAUUCAAAGGAUAAAUCAAAAAAAAAAGAAAGAGUGCCACUCGGACUCCCCCGGAUCCUACAGAUUCUACAUCAUUCCAAUCAAGGAAGCGGCUCUGCUCCACAUUUGGGCCGACUAGGUACACCUCAGAGUCCGAUGCUUAAUACAACAGGAAAUUUACCAGCAGAAGAUGAGGUUGCGGAACCAUCUCCAUCUACUCUGCCAUCACGCAAUGUAAACCUAGAUUUAGGAUCAAGAGAGCAUCAACAACAGCCGCUUCGGAAUUCCAGCAUCACAAAUAAGAGCUCAGUGUCCUGGGACACUUCAGUUGACACCCAUCAAAAUUUCACAGUCAAGCUCA